CUCACUCAGGGCUGAGUCUCUGGGGAAGGCAGAGCUGUGCUCAAGAAGAAGAUGAUUCUGUGGGGUCUCCUCCUCUGCCUGGUGACAGCCCCCCUUGGUGUUCUGUCUGAGAUUCAGCUGCAGGAGUCGGGCCCAGGACUGGUGGCCCCCUCCCAGACCCUCUCCCUCACCUGCUCUGUCUCUGGAUUCUCCAUCACAACCAGUCCUUACUGCUGGGCAUGGAUCCGCCAGCCCCCAGGGAAGGGCCUGCUCUAUUUGGGGCUCAUAUGUUAUAAUGCAGACACCAACUACAGCCCGACCUUCAAGAGCCGCAUCUCCAUCACCAGAGACACGAACAAGAACCAGUUCUCCCUGCAGCUGAGCUCAGUGACCCCCGAGGACACAGCUGUGUAUUACUGUGCGAGAGACACAGUGAGGGGAAGUCAGGGACUCCCCCAUGCGGCCCUUUCUCUGUAA